AAUCAAGGGGGCAUGGCAUUUCAGAAUGUUAAAUCAUAUUACCAGGCCGCAGUCCUAACUUCCCUAGCAACACAUCUCAUUAGAGCCAACCAGCCCCAAAGAGUGGACAUGGAAAACUUGGCAAUCAAACCCUUCAAUAUCCCUAACCUGAUGUGACUAGACAAAAAGACUAGACCAGACACCCCACUCAUGCCAAUUUAACUCAAAUUAGCAAUACAAUUCUGGGAUGUGCAUAAGCAAAAAUUUGAAACAGCUAGCCCUCUCUCUCUAGCGACCCCAUAGAAGCCAUUACCUACUGCAUCUCAAC